GAAUGAACGCUGGCGGCGUGCUUUACACAUGCAAGUCACGGGGGCCCGCAAGGGUAACCGGCGAAACGGGUGCGUAACACGUGAGCGACCUGCCUUUCCGCGGGGGAUAGCCGGCCCAACGGCCGGGUAAUACCGCAUACGCUGCUUUGGGGGCAUCCCUGAAGUAGGAAACCGUCCGGGGCGGAGAGAGGGGCUCGCGACCUAUCAGCUAGUUGGCGGGGUAACGGCUCACCAAGGCGACGACGGGUAGCNGGGUCCUGAGAGGAUGGCCAGCCACAUUGGGACUGAGAUACGGCCCAGACUCCUACGGGAGGCAGCAGGUGGGGAAUAUUGCGCAAUGGCCGCAAGGCUGACGCAGCGACGCCGCGUGUGGGA
rnacentral:rRNA from 1 species